CUCCCUCCCCCCCUCCUCUCGCUUCCAUCUCCGCCGUCUCCUCGGUCUCCCUUCCCAUCCCGGCCCCUCCUCCGCCAGCCGCGUCCUCCCGGGCUUGGUGAGGAACUGUUCCUGGAGGAGCCGCGGGACGCCAAAACCAGCCAAUGGGAAGCGGCGAUUCGCGGAGAUUGGCACUGAUGAUGGGAAGGAAUAUUGAUCUCAGCGUUACUUUGACCAUUAAUGAAUUAUGAUGGCAAUAAGCAAAGAUUCGCACCUCUAGCCUCCGGGGAGCUUAAUCUUCUGCUACAACAUUUGCAUUUGUAAGUCAGCACCUGUGUAAUCUAUAUUCUAUUUGUUAUUCUCCUUUAAUUACAUAUUGGUAGUGGUCCAUUUGCAGGCUGGGAGCAACCAACUGGAGCAUCAAAAAGAUUAUUAAAAUAUUGACUUCAAAUUAAAAGGCCAAAAAGGGAACAAGACAGGGUUUGUUUCUACCCAGUCCGUUAUGAUGGUUCAGGAACAAUUAUUUCCUUUCAUCUCAUGAAAAGUUUCAAGAAUUGUGCAAGGAACUCCCAUAUGCCCUUUACAUUCAUUCAUUAUUUAUAUCUUGCCCCACUUGCUGUCUUGCUUUGUGUUAUCUAUGUAAGCCAUAGUUCAAAUGUAAAUUCAGAUUUUCUCAAUUGUUCCAAUGAUGUCCCAAUAAUUGAUUAUAAACUAAUUUUUUCCCCAGGUUAGGAUCCAGUCUAGGAUCAUGCCUUGUACUGAGUUCCUAUGUCUCCUUUGUUUCCUCUAAUAUGGAGAAAUUUCUCUGCCUUUCUUAGUUUUCUUAAUUUGACUUUUUUUUUUUUUUUUUUUUGAGAUGGAGUCUUGCUCUGUUGCCCAGGCUGGAGUGCAGUGGUGCAGUCGUGGCUCACUGCAGCCUCCGUCUCCAGAGUUCAAGCAAUUCUCCUGCAUCAGCUUCACGAAUAGCUGGGAUUACAGGCAUGCACCACCAUGCCUGGCUAAUUUUUUGUAUUUUUAGUCGAGAUGGGGUUUCACCAUGAUGGUCAGGCUGGCGAACUCCUGACCUCAGGUGAUCCAUCUGCCUCGCCCUCCCAAAGUGCUGGGAUUACAGGCGUGAGCCGAGAUCGCGCCAUUGCACUCC
rnacentral:lncRNA from 1 species